UUUGAUUUACAGAGAGAUCUUCUAUAUCCUAUUCACUACUCAGAAUCAGUUCUUUUUAUUGUUGAUUGUUGUUUGAGUUUUGGAGAGAGAAUUAAGAUGAGUCAUAUGGGGAAAGCUUGGAUAGUGGCAGCAAGUGUGGGAGCAGUGGAGGCACUCAAGGACCAGGGCUUCUGCAGAUGGAAUUACACUCUGAGGUCUAUUCACCAGCAUGCCAAGAACAACCUCAGGUCCUUUUCUCAGGCCAAGAAGCUCUCUUCUUCCUCUUCCGCCAUGGUUUCUAGCAGAGUGAGAGACGAGAAGGCCAAGCAAUCAGAGGAGUCUCUGAGGACCGUCAUGUACUUGAGCUGCUGGGGACCCAACUGAGGAAGAAGAUAUGAAGAUGGAUGAUCACCAGCAUACUAGUGAAGCAUCGAUGGAGGGCAUAUUCCAAGAAAGUGAUACGAACAACUUAGUUCCCUCUUUCAAGCUAAGAGCCUCUCUUCUUCUUCUCCUCCUUAUUCUUAUAAGAUGGAGGUGAAUAGUGGCGGAGAAGGUGAGAAAAGGAAGAAGACACAGAAAGUAAUGGGGAAAGUCGUGGGCUUGAGCUCCUGCGGUCCCAGUGAAGCAAUGGAUAGAGAUUUUGAGGUGUAACAUAAGAGUAAACAUUUUGUAGAGAUCUGCAGAUAGAUAAGAUGAUUUUAAUGUGUACUUAAAAAAAUGAAAUAAGAUUUCAGAUUUAUCAUCAUAAUAUUUGUGCCAUGGGACUAUCUUGGUUAGUUUUUUAGAGGGUUAAAAACUAAUUCUACUUUGGAAGAAAGGAAUCACCUUCAAAUUAAGCCAUCUUUCGAGCAGUUUGGAAAAACCCUUAUCUAAUAAAGACCUCUAUAAAGUACAAAAAGGUUGUGCUUUUACCAUAAAAAAGGUUGUUUCAAGCCCGAGAACAUCAGAAAUCAUCAUGCCAAGGUUGAUAGAGUUGCUAACAUACAGAUAAGAAAUUUUACCCAAAAAAAUAAAAUAAAAAAAUUAAAGCUUUGUCUUGAAAAGUCUCUCAAAUUCAGAUUCAUUUUUGGAAGAAGAAUAAGAGAUAUCUAAGUGAAGUGAGGGGUUCGUGGACAGGAAAUUUAAGAUAUUUUAAUAAUCCAAUAGUUUUAUUUGAUUUUUAUCAUAGUAUAAUAAAAUAAUUCUCUUUUAUUUGUGGAUGUAAGUUAAUCAAAACAUGUUAAGAUCUCGUGUAUUUUUGUGUGAAUUAUUUUAUUUUUACAUUCUAAAAUUAAUAUUUUUGUAUUAAAGCUUACAUUGAUACCAAAGCUAUGUUGAAGAUUUGUAAAAGAACAAAAAAAAAAAAAAAAAUAGUACACAAAAAAAAUGAUAAAAUGAAUUUUAAUUGAAAGUGAAGUUGAUUGUUUCCAAAACAUGAUACAAAAAAUAUGUUAUGAAAAGAUGAAAAAUUAACUUAAUGGAAUUUGAUGUCGAGAUUGUUCAAGAGUGCCUUAAAUUCUUAUUAAUAUUGAUUGAUUUUUAUAAGGAAUAUUGUAUAUAAUAUAUUUUAAGUUAAUAUAUUAUUAUAAUAUUAGAUUUCUUUAUUCAGUAAAGAAAGUUAUUAAAAAUAUUUUUAUAAAUAUUUUAAAUCUUAUAAGAUGAAGAUUAACUUGUAAAAAUUAUAUGAGAUGGAUAAAGAUGUAUAAAAAAAAUGAAAGAUAUCUUGAAUGAUGUAGUGAAAUGAUUCUCUCAUUCGCAUAUAUAGGCAUGAUUCAUCGAAUCAUAUUAAAACCUCAUGUAUUUUCCGGUGGAUUGUUUUAUUUUUAUGUUUUUAAACCAAUAUGUUUGUGUUAAGAUUUUCCCUUACCCAACACCUUCAACCCUCUCUUUUAUUUAUUUUUUUCAUUAUAUUUAUAAAGAGGUUUAUCCAAAGAUCUCAAUCCCUUGUCCUCAUCUUACCGUCUUUGAUCUAUCCGAGGAAUUUUAGUUUCUUUGGUAAUGAUUAAUUUUGAAUCUUACAAAACAAAACAAUCAAAAGUUUGAAACAAAGCAAGAUGCAUCAUUUAGACAAUUGGUUCAAAGGCUUCAUGAUAGACGUUACAUCCCAACAGUCAUUUAUGCUCUUAUAAGUCAAAUUCAUAAUCCAAUGUAUUAUUAGUUCAUUAUGUGAAAUUAAUAACUCAGCUAACAUUAGAGGUUUCAUAAAACACUAGAAUUUGUUCACAUUUUUGUUAGGUGAGCUCACAGAAUUCAAGUCCAAUUGGCAACUACUCCAAAAGUGAAUGUUAUUGAACUCCAAUAAGCAACUUGUUUUAGACUGCCGCAUUGUGGCUUUGGAAACCAGCGGUUUCACUCCUUUCACUCCUUUAGCAGGAAAACAGGGGACACAUCUUUGGCAGCUGCCACCAUGAUAAUUCUUAGUAGGGACCACACAAGUGGGUGAAAACCCAAUCAUACCCACAUCUAACUCCCCUUAGCAUUACAAAUCCAAGGACAAAGUAGUCAUUCCAAUUCAAACCAAACAAACCCAUGAAUACUGCUGGCCACAGCCUCUGGUUUUUUCCUAAAGUUUGGGCACCAAAUCCAAACCCAUCUCUUUUCUAUAAAACCAACCCACCUUCACUUCUUCUUCUUCAUCACAACACAAACACUUUGAUCUACAGAGAGAUCUUCAAAAUCCCAUUCACUACUCAAAUCGGUUCUUUUUAUUGUUGAUUGUUGUUUGAGUUUGGAGAAAGAAAAUUAAGAAGAUGAGUCAUAUGAGGAAAGCUUGGAUAGUGGCAGCAAGUGUGGGAGCAGUGGAGGCACUCAAGGACCAGGGCUUCUGCAGAUGGAAUUACACUAUGAGGUCUAUUCACCAGCAUGCCAAGAACAACCUCAGGUCCUUUUCUCAGGCCAAGAAGCUCUCUUCUUCCUCUUCUGCCAUGGUUUCUAGCAGAGUGAGAGAUGAGAAGGCAAAGCAGUCAGAGGAGUCUCUGAGGACUGUCAUGUACUUGAGCUGCUGGGGACCCAACUGAGGAAGAAGAUAUGAAGAUGGAUGAUCACCAGCCUACAGCGAAGCAUCCAUGGAGGGCAUAUUCCAAGAAAGUGAUAACUCAUAAGUGGAGUGGAGAUCAGUUUCAUGGAAUUUUUCCUAGAAGACAAACAAGGUGGAAAUCCAGAAAUUAAUUAGAACCAACUGCUAAUAGUUGGCGUCUCUGAGUUAGGAAUUUGUUAGCAAAAGGCAGCUUUGGUAUAUAUACUAAUAUACGAGAUGAUUUCAAUGUAUAUUUGAAAUAGAAAUUAGAUUUAUUAUCAAAACGAUUGCGUUGUCUCGUCUUUUAUAUUUUCCAGAUCCAAACAGAUCCUAAAGGCCCUAAAAUUUUUGUUGUAUCAUUUUUAUGCUAAAAAAUUACACAUAGAAAAAUUAACUAAAUCAUAAGUAGCUUCUAACCAUGAAUUGUUUUUUUUUUUUUAAGCCUAUAAAUUUUAUGCUUUAGAUACAUGCAUUAAAAAUCUAUCUAAACCAUAUAUAAUUAUUUUAAUGCAGUUAUAUAACUGAUAAAAAUAGAAAUAAAUUUAAUAAAUAUAAAAUAAUAAAAUAUUAGGAUAAGUAUUGAAGAUCAAUUUUCAGUCUUCAAACUUAAUCGAACUUGAAAGUGGAUGGCGAUGGAUACAAUGAUUUGAGCCAGGUCUUAAAUCUUUAACUUAAUGGAGCAAUUAUUGUAAUCUACUUAAUAAUUGGUCAGUAUAAAAUUAAAUAAUAAUAAAAGGAGAAAGAAAAGGACACGUGUUUGACGUGGACGUUGCCAAAACAGCGGUUUCAGACAGGCCUUUUACUGCCCGAGCGCCAGUGGAUUAACAAAGAAAACAAUGAGCACAUCAGUGGAAGCGGCACCAGCUACCAAGUAUGCAGCUGAAAUGCCCCUUGGAAUUACAAAUCGAAGGACAAAAGAGUCAUUCCAGACCAACCCAGAAAUACAGCUGACCCCUGCCUCUGGUUUUUCCCCAAACCUUGUGCCUUUCUCUAUCUAUAUAAUCCAGCCCACCUUCUCUCCAUCUUCUUCAUCGCAACACAAACGCUUUGAUUUACUGAGAGAUCUUCCAUAUCAAUUCACUACUGAGAUUGUUGUUUGGGCUUUGAGUUCUUGGGAAAGAAAGUUAAGAAGAUGAGUCAUAUGAGGAAAGCUUGGGUGGUGGCAGCAAGCGUGGGAGCAGUGGAGGCACUCAAGGAUCAGGGCUUCUGCAGAUGGAACUACACUCUGAGGUCUAUUCACCAGCAUGCCAAGAACAACCUCAGGUCCUUUUCUCAGGCCAGGAAGCUCUCUUCUUCCUCUUCUGCAAUGGUUUCUAGCAGAAUGAGAGACGAGAAGGCAAAGCAGUCAGAGGAGUCUCUGAGGACUGUCAUGUACCUGAGCUGCUGGGGACCCAACUGAGACGUUCCACAUUUCGAGUGAUCAAGAAGAAGAUGAUGAUGACGAAAGAUUCAUGGAGGGAGCAUGUGAAGGAAGUCAUGAGAAGGGGAGAUGAAAACCAUUAAUGGAGAAGAGAGAUCCAUCUGUGGAUGAAGGCAGUGGAAAUUUGGAGCCGAGUGAGUCAUGGGUAAUGGUUCUUAUGAGUUGGGAAAUUAUCAGCAAAGUGCUUUCUCAACCUCAGAUGCUUUGGGAGGAAUGGGAAUUUACCAGAAAAUUGCAAGUACAUAUGUAUGAUGCUUUUUAUGCAUAAUUUGUCCGAAAGCAAUAAUAAUCAGAUUAAUUUUCAGCUAUACUUCUUCUGAGAUAUGGAAUUUGUUGGUUCUGAUUUAAUUUCAAUGAAAUUGAUUAUUUUGUAAUUCUAAAGAAAAUUGGAUUAUUCUGUAAAUUCUAUUAUUUUAUUGUUGUAUAAAGGUAAAUUCUUCUAUCAUUUGUUUUGAUAUAUUCAAAAUUAGACACAGAAAUUAAAAAAAAAAAAAAAAAAUCCACUAUUCCAAGCCAACCCGCAGCCCAAGCUGACGGGUGCAUCCAACCAGGUAGCCAUGUUCAGGGAAAACAGCGGUUUCACCCACAUUUUUACUCCUUGCGCAAUGGAAAAAAAAAAAGAAAAGCGAUUAAAGCCCAAAAUGCCCAUGUAUCUCUUCAUUUGCCAUUAGAAGUAUAUGCACAAAACAGUCAUUCCAUCCACCCCUCACCAACCCAAAAAUCCUGGUAACCACAGCCUCUGGUUUUCCCCCACACCUAUGUCUUUUAAACAAUGGGCACACUACUGCCGACUGCCCCUACGCUUACUGCUUACAUUAGUUGAGGAUGAGUGAUGGGGCCAAGGCCAACUAUGUAGGUGAAUUCCCAAUUAUACCCACCUGAAUCCGCCCUCAAUCUGACCAAUCCGAGGACAAACGUAAUAAUCAUUCCAAUUCAGAUCAAGCAAACCCAUGAAAACUGCUGGCCACAGCCUCUGGUUUUUUCCCAAACUUUGGGCACCCGAUCCAAACCUAUCUCUUUCUAUAAAACCAACCCACCUUCACCUCAUCUUCUUCAUCACAACACAAAACACUGGAUUUACAGAGAGAUCUUCAAUAUCCAUUCACUACCCAGAAUCAGGUCUUUUUAUUGUUGAUUGUUGAUUGAGUUUUGGAGAAAGAAAAUUAAGGAGAUGAGUCAUAUGGGGAAAGCCUGGAUAGUGGCAACAAGCAUGGGAGCAGUUGAGGCAUUGAAGGAUCAGGGCUUCUGCAGAUGGAAUUACACUAUGAGGUCACUUCACCAGCAUGCCAAGAACAACCUCAGGUCCUUUUCUCAAGCCAAGAAGCUCUCUUCUUCCUCUUCUGCCAUGGCUUCUAGCAGAGUGAGAGAAGACAAGGCAAAGAAAUCAGAGGAGUCCUUGAGGGCUGUCAUGUACUUGAGCUGUUGGGGACCCAACUGAGACCCACCAAAAAUUAGUAGAGAGUUGUAAACAUGUAUGAUGAUUUUUUUAUGUAUUUUUUUGAAAAAAAAUCAGAUUAGGUAUCAGAAAUUCAGAAUGAUUGUUUUUUGCACUUUGUUUUUACAUGCCAUGGGAUUUGGAGUUGGUUAGUUUUGACUGAGCAUGAAAGGCAGGCCAGGGUUUUAAAGAAUUGAAUCAUUCACUGGAGAUGGAAUCUCUCUCAGAGAAAUCCUUAUUCUCUACAACCUUGGCAAAUGGCAAGCCACUAAGAGGGAAAACACAAAAAAUAAAAAUAAAAUAAAAUAAUAAUAAUUGUAGAGGAGAUAUUUGCCAAUAUAUAAAACUUAUAUUUUUGUAUUAUUAUUGAAUAAAUUAGAUUUUAUCAUACACUUAAAUAAUGGAGAUACAAAUUCAAUAUAAUACUUUUUUUUUGGUUAAUUUUAAAAGGUUUCUAAGGAAAUUAAGUCUUAAUCAAACAACUUUUAUUGAUCUUUUACAAUAUGAAUUUAUCUCUUUAAAAUAAUUUUAAUUUAGCAUUUAAAAUUUUCCGUUGAACUUUUUCACCAAAUGAGAAGUAAAAACGUAACAGAGGAAUGCAGGACUUUAAAGUGAAGUUGUCUUUUUUUGAACAAGCUAACUUUAAGUCUCGUUUUUUAAGAGAACUUUUCAUAGAAUUUGAAUUAUUUAUUUAACGAUAAAUUUUCAUGAUUUUUUUUUUAAAUUUACACCAUUUUGAAAGGGAAACUUGUAUUUUGAUGGAGCAAUUUGGAAAAUAUAUGAUUUUUGGAAUCCAACUUCACGAAAUCUGAAAACUAACUUUUAAUGUGAAAAAUUAUAUAUUUUUCAUGCACUCUAAGUCGGUUGCAUAUUUUUGUGCUAAGAUUAUUUUUAGGUUUAGUGAUUUUCCAAAAUUAUCCUUUUUGUUUUUUUUUUUUUUCUCUUGUACCCAUCAUCUGCCUCUCCCUCCCUCCCCAGUGAAAUUGGUUGGUAUUUUGCCGACGUCAUCACCAACCGCCACCCACACUUCUCUCCCGUUGGCAAUCUCCUCCUUUCUCCAUUUCCUUCCCUCUUUCUCUCUCUCUUUCAUUCCCUUUCGACAUCACCAAGAGAGAAGAAGGCGGUGGCAAUGGUGGAGAACCGGGGUUGGAGGGAAGAAGGUGCGACUGGUUGCCAUUGACGGUGGCAACCAGUAACUCUCGCAGUCAUUGACAACGGUGGUGGUGGAAGCACCUAAGUGGGGAGAGACGUCAAGGAGAGGUGGGAGGGAGGCGGACGAGGGGACCACGUCUUUCCCUACGCUGGUGCUUUCGCCGUCGCCACUGUCAAUAAUCGUGAGAGUUGUUGGUUGCUGUUUGUCGCGCCUUCUUCCCUCUAGCCCUGGUUCUCCACCAUUGCCACUGCCCUCUUCUCUCUUGAUGAUGUCGAAAGGAAAUGAAAGAGAUAAAGAAAGAGGGAAGGGAAUCGGAGAGGGGGAAAUUAAUGAUCGGAGAAAUGUGUGAGUGACGGCCGAUUUCACAAGGGAGGGAGGAAGAGGCGGAUGGUGGUGGGUAUAGGAGGAAAAUAAACAAAAAGGAUCACUUUGGAAAAUCACUAAAUCCAAAGGUAAUCUCGACACAAAAUAUGUAGCCGGUUCAGAGUGCAUGAAAAAUAUAUAAUUUUCCAUAUUGAAAAUUGAAUUUUAGAUUUCAUAAAGUUGGAUUCUAAAAACCAUAUAUUUCUUAAAUUUCCUCAUCAAAACAUAAGUCUGCAUUUUGAAAAGGAAAAACCCAAUGAAAUAUGUUCGUACUUCGUAUAGACCGUGGAGUGGGGUGUGAAAAAAACAAAGAAAUAGACACGUGCUUGAAAUCCGGCCGUGCACAUUACCCCAUUGGAAAACAGCGGUUUCAUCCUCCUUACUCUUUGAGCGUUGAGUGGAUUCACAAACAAAACAAUGGGCACGUACUGCGGACUGCCCCACACCAACACUGAGGGCCAACUAUGUAGGUGAAUACCCAAUUAUACCUACAUGAAUCAGCCGUCAAUCUUACAAAUCCAAGGGCAAAGUAGUCAUUCCAAUUCAAACCAAACCAAGCCAUGAUUCAUGAAAACUGCUGGCCACAGCUCCCGGUUUUUCCCUAACUUUGGGCACCAAAUCCAACCCAUCUCUUGCUAUAUAACCAACCCACCUUCACUUCAUCUUCUUCAUCACAACACAACUACCUUGAUUUACAGAGAGAUCUUCUAUAUCCAUUCACUACUCAGAAUCACCUCUUUCUAUUGUUGAUUGUUGUUUGGGUUUCGGAGAAAGAAAAUUAAGAUGAGUCAUAUGGGGAAAGCUUGGUUAGUGGCAGCAAGUGUGGGAGCAGUGGAGGCACUCAAGGAUCAGGGCUUCUGCAGAUGGAACUACACUCUGAGGUCUAUUCACCAGCAUGCCAAGACCAACCUCAGGUCCUUUGCUCAGGCCAAGAAGCUCUCUUCUUCCUCUUCUGCCAUGGUUUCCAGCAGAGUGAGGGAGGAGAAGGCCAAGCAGUCAGAGGAGUCUCUGAGGACUGUCAUGUACUUGAGCUGCUGGGGACCCAACUGAAGAAGAAGAUAUGAAGAUGGAUGAUCAUCAGCCUGCACUUGAAGCAUCCAGAGAGGGCAUAUUCCAAGAAAGUUAUGGAAAAUUAAGAUGAAGAAACUGCAGUGAAGCAAUUUCAUGGAAUUUUUGCUUGGAGACUCCCGAAUUACAACCAAUUGCUCAGGGUUGGGAAAAUUGGAAUUGCUGUAAAUUGUGACUGGUUCUUUGUAAAACCCAAAUCAUUUAGCUAGAAAUUGAAAAUACAUUUUAAUUUAAUUUAUAGUUUCUCUGUUAGAAUAUUAGACCCAAUUCCUAAAAAGCUUGUCAGUCUUGUAUUAGACCCAAGCUCAAGCGCAUUAAGAAAAAAUAUGGCAGAUUUGGUCACAUAGGGGAUGAAGAGGUGAUAAAGUAGAUACAACGCCCAAAAUUAAACUCUCAAUCAAUUUAAUUGAACAAAUAAUCAUAAAAGAGAUUUUUUAAAUUUAUGAUUUUUGAAAAAGAAAAUUCCAGUGAAAUAUGUUCAUGUAGACUGUGUGGUAGGAUGAAGACUAAACAAAGAAAUGGACACGUGGUUGAAGUCCGGCCCUACACAUUGCCCCAUUGGAAAACAGUGGUUUCAUCCUCCGUACUCUUUGGGCGUUAAGUGGGUUCACAAACCAAACAAUGGGCUGCCUUAACGUGGUGUUUAUUUUUUUACUUAAUUCUAAAUAGAAUCUUAAUAUUUAAUCGUAUUAAAUAUUAGAUUAUUUAUUUUUUAGUAUUUUAUUUUUAUUAAGUAUUAAAAAGUAAAAAAAAUCAUUGUGUUAUUUUUUCUAUUUAGAAAAAAUUAUAUAUUUUGAUUUUUUCUAUUUAGUAAAAAGUUUAUAAUAAGUCAUUAAAAAGUAAAAAAACAAACCAUCUAAAUUCUAAAACUAAAUGAUUUUUAGCAAAAAGCCAAAAAAACAAACACCACUUUAGACUGAGGACAAACUAUGUAGGUGAAUAUCCCAUUAUACCUACAUGAAUCAGUGGUCAAUCUUACAAAUCUAAGGACAGAGUAGUAAUUCCAAUUCAAACCAAACAAAGCUAUGAGAACUGCUGGCCACAGCCUCUGGUUUCCCCAAAACUUUGGGCAGUAUUCCUCAAAGAAUCAAGUGGGCUAGAUUUAACAACUUCGUCCACCAUGGUUAGAUUAUUGGGGGCUAGAGUAAAUAACUUCAUCCACCAUGGUUAGAUUAUUGGUAUCUCGAUGGGAGAAGUUGUUUUGAUGGAAAAACAUUGUAUUUUAUUAUUUUGUAAAUUUUAUCAUCACUCAUAUAUAUUAUUUUUUAUUUAAAAUUAAAUAAAAAAUUAAAAUUCUUAGAAAAUACGAAAAGAAAGUAUAUCACAAUCUUUAUUUUCUAUUCUAAAAUUAAAAAAUAAAAAUAAAAUUAUGAAGAAAAAAGUACAUUCCAACUUACAUUAAUUAAGGGAUGAUAUACUCUGCAAAUAAAAAAUAUAAAAAAUAAUUAAAGGUUAAAUAAAUCACUUAAUAAAUCGGUAGUAGGGGUUGAUGGUUUCAUUAUUAGACUAUAACAAGGAUUUUCAUUUUCAUUUUCUUUUUAAAUGCAUUUCAUGGUGGUGUAGAAUUUUUUUGUAUAAGGGUUUUUAAAUUGUAAUAUAGAUUAUAUAUAUAGUUGUGUUUUGUCCUAAAUUCUGACUUCCAAGUUUUCAACAUUAUAUAAAAAUCCCUAAAAUCACCUACUUCGUACGUUUUCUAACAUUAUAUAAAAAGCCCUGAAUUCACCUAUUAGAAAAAUGUUAUUUGGUGCGCUAUCAUUACCAUGACCUCAACCUCGUGCAAAGAUAUCGAGUGGUUACUAAUAGUAAAAAAUAAAUAAUAAAAACAAAAUAUAUUCAUUAUUAUUAUUAUUAUUAUUUUGUACUUUUACCAUCCAUUAUUCACAUCUUAGCAUAUGAUAGAAAAGAUGAUAAAAGAUUAUUUAUGUUGUAUGAUUUUAAGUGAAAUGAUCAAAAUAUUUAAAGAAAAAAUUAAUAAUUCAUGAAGAAUUUUUGGUAAAUUUAUAAAUUUGUAAUAAAUAUUGAUAAAUGAUAAACAAAGUAGUUUUUAAAGUGGUUGCAGUAGUUAAACAUUGUAUCUUAUUAUGAUUUUCCACCUUCAAAACUUAAUAAUAAAAUUUCAUAACAAAUUUUUAUCUAUUUGAAACUUUUGAAAUGUGGAAUCUUUUCUUGGACAUUUUUAUAUAUACAUUUGUGAAUUUUAUCUUUAUUUUUUAUUUAUAAAAUUAAAGGAUAAAAUUAAAAUGUUAAAAAUAAAAGAGAAGUAUAUCCCAACUUGCAUCAAUUAAGAGAAGAUAUAUAAAGCACAUGAAGAAUGCAAAAAAAAUUAAUGAUAAAAUAAAUCACUUAUUAGAUAGUAUUUAAUGAUUUACAUUAUUAGAUUGUAGAAAUGAGUUAUAUUUUUAUUUUUGUGUAUAGGGGAUUUUAAAUUAUAAUAUAUAUUUUUAUUUUUGAGUUAGUUUUCUUUGUUGAUACAUAGUUUUUUUUUUGUCUUGGAUAUUGUGUUAUCAGCAGUUUUAAAAGAAAUAAAAAUUAUUUAUCCCACAUCGAUUCAAAACUAAAAAUAUUAUAUAUAUUUAUUAAAACUUUGAUACCCUUAAAAAAUACAAGUACAACCAAUAAGCAAGCAUAGGGAUGACAACGGGGCGGGUAUGGGACAUGCCACCCCUACCCCAUUUCCAUCCCGGUUAUAUAUUUUUUUGCCCAUCCCUGUCCCAAACUCGGGGCGGGGCGAGUUGGUGUCCCCCUUACCUGUUUACAAAAGAGCUGAUAAUCUCAUCCCCAUCCCAAAUGUAUUUUCGGGAAUUAUGCUUUUACAAAACAUGGGUCUCUGAAAUUUCAAUAAACGUUAUAUGGGUUAUCAUAAACACAUUUAAUCAAGCAUUUGUUGUGCAACAAAACUACAAACUGCACAUAUGAGAACAAAAUGCACAGAUCUACAAAUAAACAACCCAAAAAAUCUCAAAUCCAUAAACCAAAACCAGAAAAAUAUGAAAAACAAGACAUUCUAACAAAGCCUCAAAACUUAGGGUUUUCUUACCUGGAAAUGAGGAAUCCAUAGAAACCCUAAUAAUUUGUUGUCUACGAAUUUGGUUUUUGGUUUUUAGAGCAAAAAUUGUGCUUUUAGGGUGAAAUGGGAAGAAGCAAUUUAGGAAUAAAUGAGAAAACGGGAAGAAAUGAGAAAACGAAAGGCCUUUUACGAGCAAAAGAACCCUGAGCAAUUUAGGAAGAAAUGAGAAAACGGGAAGAAAUGAGAGCGAAAGCCCUCUAACUCUCUCAUGAGCAAAAUAACCCUAAAACUUGAGGAAGAAAUGAUUAUAUGUGUAGGACUUUUUGGGUAUUUUGUAAUGACAUAAGGGUAAAUUGGUAAUUCACAUACGGGGCGGGGCAGAAACUGCAAAACCCAUCCCUGCCUUAAACCCAAUUCGGGUUUUUAUAUAUUCCCCAAACCCUUUUUAUACCCGAAUAGGAUAUUCUCAUACCCGUCCCAAUAGGGACGGGGCGGGUGACCCGAAUUACCCGGAAAAUUGUCAUUCCUAAGCAAGCAUUGAGCUAAAUCCUAAUCUCACAUUCCUACUUGAAACUUUACACUCACAUAAAAACAACUCACCACUUGACUCGAGGGACUAUUCCGUAACUUCUCACUACCAACAACCAGGCACUAUUCAACCUCUCGCUCACUUAUAAAUUCACUCCCUACCUGCAUAUUCAAAACGUAUCUCACUACUAUUCUACUCUACUAUUCUACUUUUCGUGGUUUCAUAUCUCACUAUUAUUCCACUUUUCGCGGUUUCAUAUCUCACUACUAUUCGCGUGUUCAAAGUGUAUCCCUCCCUGAAUUAAUUGUGAAUUAAUUUAGGCUUCAAAGUGUGUUGCUCUACAAUAUCCCUCCCAGUCAGGCCUCAAAGUAAGAACAACAACAUCUACAAUAUCUGCCAUGGCCACACAACCAAGGCAUGCGGUAUGCCGCAUUUUCUCAUGUCCUUUUCCCAUUUUGUUCCCUCUUUUCAUCUCCAUUUUGUUUUCAAUAUCCCCUUACCUUACUCAUAUUCUCUAAAAUUAGAUAAAAUUAUUAAUUUGAUCAUAUUUAUCUAACAUUUUUAAUUAAUACUACUAGUAUCUUAUUUUCAUAAAUCUAAUUGAAUUUCCUACUUAUUUAUUUAUUGUUUUCAUGACAAAACUUCAUCAACUUUCAUAUCUUUCCUUACAAUUCUGAGUUCAACUGUCCUUGCGAAAUACCAAUAUGAGAAUGUUUCCCCAUUUGCCCAACACAACAUAGGUAUGCAAAUCUCCUUAUUUGCAUCAUUUAUAUAUUUCAUGAUGGUUGUGGUUUAUGAAAUCCUUGAUUCUAAUGGAACUAUCAAAAUUGAAGAAGAUGGAAGAUAUCUCCUUAUUUUGAGUCAUGUUCGGUUCUUAAGUGGAACAGCAGCUGCAACUUUGUUGAUCCUGAUCUUGAUCCCAUAUUUUGGAUGGUUCUUUCUGAUCAUGUGGACCAUGUUCUUAGUGAAAAUAACAUGCUAUUGGGAUAAAACAUUUUAUAACUUUGACAUGUUCAAGAAUAAAAAAAAAUGCCAAUGAUAGGGAAGGAGGACAAGAGGAGCAACGACUCCAAGUUUAGAGUAGGUUUGGUCCAUCAGAGGUUAUUAGCAAAAAACAUAUUUUCUUCUUGUACUUUCGAAAGUGUUAAAUAAGUGUUAUAUUUUGAGUAAUGAGAGUAUUUUUUUCCUUUUUUCUUUUUUUCUAAUACAUUAUUGGUGAUUAUUCUUCGUCGGAAUACCCACAAGGCUAUUAGAUGUUUCAUUGCAAAAUAUGGUUUUAUAUGAUAGCAUUACGAUUGAACUAAUAAAACAUAUUUUUUGCAUAUUGUUUAGUUGGACCCCCCGACUACCUCUCGGUAAUAUCCUCUUAACAUAGGAAGUAUAAACUAAUAGCAAGUGCUAAUCUUUCCCAUUCUUACACAAGAAAGACCCAAGGAGAAGGUAUAUUUAGAAAUUGCAUAUCUAUGUUCCCAAACAAUAGAAAAUUCAAUAUAUGGCACUUCACUCUCUACUUUUCUUUCCCACAUUUUCUCAUAACCCAAAUAUGCUCACCUCUCAUUCUAAGAUCCAACCAUUGAAAAACAAUUACAAAAAUCCUAAUAAAAGAGAUAGAUCAUACUACAAUUACACUUUCUUACAAGAAAUUGAAGUGUAGAAGGUAUAACAAUUGAGUGAAACAAAUAAAAACCAACCUCCUUUAACACACAUGCUAAUGAAAUACUUGCAGAGACACUUUAAAUUUCUCCAGACUCCAAGAGAUAUUGAACAACAGCCUCGACACCUGCAGCGACGAGACCAUCACCUGAUACGAUAUAAUGCACAAACUCGGCACGGAAUCAAUAAGACUUGGUUGGAUUACAAAUUUUUUUUCAAACAUUCUCUUUUUCUUUCCAAUCACAAUAAAACAUCAGAAUAUUUUCAAAAAUAAAAAUCAGAAAUUCACCUUUCAAAAGCAAACACCCAUGAUUCUGAAAUUGGAGCUUUUAACCUAAAAGAUCAAAGAAGAUGAAGAAGAAAAAACCCAACCCCUGACUCGUUCGGAAAUAAGAGGAGAAACCACCGAAGGAUGAGGGCAUGAUUUAGGAUUUACUUACUUGAUUUUCCUAAAAAUCGAGAAUCAUCGGAGGGUGGAGGUUUGGUGUCAACGGUGGUAACUCGUCAAGUGGAUUGAAUCUUACAACAGCGACGUCGGCCAGGCAACCCUCUCACAGUCAGAUUGCUCUCCCUUCGGGGUCUUGCAUAGUUGCAAAUUUGCAAUUGUAGGUGGUGUCAUCUGUCGACGGUCUUGACAACAAUGGUGUUGUGCGAGUAUGGAAGAUUGGGAGCCUAAAUUGGUAAAGUAAAAAAUGCAUUUUAUAUGGAUUUACAUUGAUGAUAUGAGAUAGGAUUUGAUGGUAACAUAUUAAAUUAAAUUAAAUGAUUGAGUCCAAAAUGAUAUGGAUGGUAUGAGAUAGGAUUUAAUGAAAAAUUAAAUGUAUUUAUAUGGCAGAUUGAGAAUUAAAUCCACAAUUCUUAGUAGUAUUAUAAAUGGCUUUGAGUUAAAUGUGAAAAAGUUUUAUUAAUUUUUUAAGCUUAUUAAAUUUAUAUCUAUUUUUUAUAUAUAAUUUACAUAAUAUUUUUAUAAUUUUUUGAAAUUUCUAAUUAUCUUAUUUUGCGUGUUGCUUGAUAUUGAAUCAAGAUGUUGAGACCAACAUAUCUCGGGAACAUCUGAGUUAAUGAUCGAUAUCGCGACUUUGAACCAUGCUCGUCUCCAAUCCCUUAACAAUGAUGAAAAAUGAGGGCAACACAAUUACCCUUUUUAUUAUUAUCUGUUCAAAAUAAUACAUGCAUUAUAAUAUAAUUUUUUAAAAAUAUUUUACAAAAAAAUAUAUGUGGACCCCGUAUUUAGGCUCAUGCGUUUCCACUCGAUGGCGAGCUUGAUUUUAUUUUGAAAAUAAUUUUAUUUAUUAGAAAAUGACUUGGAGUCGCCACUUAUUUUUGUUUUAUUUUUAAAGGGUAAACAAAAUAAGAAAGAAAACCCUAAGUGUGACUCCUUAUUUUGGAAAAGGUGGUCUGUAAAAAAUUGGAUCGAGUUUGGGGGUCAGGUUACUUAUCGGGAAGGUACGGUAAAGACCGUAGCACCCCUUUAAGUCCCCAAAGUCGGGUCUCUACUAAUAAAAUGAAGUUGACGCAACAAUCAAUAAUAAAAACAAUGAAUACCGACAUGAUCACAUAUUGAAAGCCAAAACAUAUAAGGAUGAUGGUUAGAGUGAGAAAAAAUGCGUACCUGAUCAGCAAGCGGCAACGCGCUAUCAUAAAAUGAGGUUAGUGCACAAAUAAUGGACAUAAAACAUAGCUCACAAGCCACUGAAUCGAGUACAAAAUCAUCAGAUAUCACAAUUAAGUCAAAUUUAUUUUUCGGGGAAACAAUCACUGAUGUUGGGCCUUCACCAAAACCCAAUUUAUUCCUGUAUGAAUUAAUUUCGUAAAUUCCAUCACUUGGAAUUACAGAAUUUAAUUCACACUUAUUUUUAAAAUGUUUUAGAAAUCAUGGAAGUUAUGGAAAUCCAUGCCGAAGAAAAUGGCAACAAAAUUUUAUUAAAAAUGUGAUUUUUGGGACUUGAAAGCUCUAAGGAUGAAGAAUCUGGAAAAUAAUGCGAAAAAAAUGAGAUUUGGAAAAAAAUAUUUUUUUAAACCAAGAAUGGUGAAAAUGAGAAAAAAAAAAAAAAAGGAAGUGACACGUGGCAUAAGGGUGGCCAUGCAAAGGUGGCCAUGCACCAUUCCAAACAAAUCUAACCCCACUUGCUUUUAUUUGAUCCUGAUCUUAAUCCCAUAUUUUGGAUGGUUCCUUCUGGUCAUGUGGACCAUGUUCUUAGUUAAAAUAACAUGCUAUUGGGAUAAAACAUUUUAUAACUUUGACAUGUUCAAGAAUAAAAAAAAUGUCAAUGAUAAGGAAGGAGGACAAGAGGUGCAGCGACCCCAAGUUUAGAAUAGGUUUGGUCCAUAAGAAGUUAUUAACAAAAAAACAUAUUUUCUUCUUGUACUUUUGAAAGUGUUAUAUUUUGAGUAAUGAGAGUAUUUUUUUUUUCCUUUUUUCUUUUUCUUUAAUACAUUAUUGGUGAUUAUUCUUCGCUGGAAUACCCACAUGGCUAUUAGAUGUUUCAUUGCAAAUAUGGUUUUAUAUGAUAGAAUUAUGAUUGAACUUAUAAAACAUAUUUUCUGCAUAUUGUUUAGCUGGGCCUCCCAACUACCUCUCGGUAAUAUCCUCUUAACAUAGGAAGUAUAAACUAAUAGCAAGUGCUAAUAUUUCCCAUUCUUACACAAGAAAGACCCAAGGAAAAGGUAUAUUUAGAAAUUUCAUUUCUAUGUUCCCAAACAAUAGAAAAUUCAAUAUAUGGCACUUCACUCUCUACUUUUCUUUCCCACAUUUUCUCAUAACCCAAAUAUGCUCACCUCUCAUUCCAAGAUCCAACCAAAAUUGAAAAACAAUUACAAAAAUCCUAAUAAAAGAGACAGAUUAUACUACAAUUACACUUUCUUACAAGAAAUUGAAGUGCAUAAGGUAUAACAAUUGAGUGGAACAAAUAAAAACCAGCCUCCUUUAACACAUUUGCUAAUGAAAUACUUGCAGAGACACUUUAAAUUCCUCCAGACUCCAAAAGAUACUGAUCAACAGCCUCGGCACCUGCAGCGACGAGACCAACACCUGAUACGAUAUAAUGCACAAACUCGGCAUGAAAUCAGUAAGACUCAGUUAGAUUACAGAAAAAUUUUCAAACAUUCUUUUUUUCUUUCCAAUCAUAAUAAAACAUCAGAGUAUUUUCAAAAAUAAAAAUCAAAGAUUCCCCUUUCAAAAGCAAACACCUAUGAUUCUGAAAUUGGAGCUUUUAACCCAGAAGAUAAAAAAAGACGAAAAAGAAAAAACCCAACCCCUGACCCGUUCGGAAAUAAGAGGAGAAACCACCGAAUGAUGAGGGCAUGAUUUAGGAUUUACUUACCUGAUUUUCCUAAAAAUCGAGAAUCAUCGGAGGGUGGAGGUUUGGUGUCGGUGGUGGUAACUCGUCAAGUGGACUGAAUCUUACAACGGCGACGUCGGCCAGGCAACCCCUCAUAGUCAGAUUGCUCCCCAUCCGAGGUCUUUCAUAGUUGCAAAUUUGCAAUUGCAGGUGGUGUCAUCUAUCGAUAGUCUUGACAGCAACGGUGGUGUGCAAGGUGUGCGAGAUUGGGAGCCCAAAUUGGUAAAGUAAAAAAUGCAUUUUAUAUGGAUUUACAUUGAUGAUAUGAGAUAGGAUUUGAUGGUAACUUAUUAAAUUAAAUUAAAUGACUGAGUCCAAAAUGAUAUGGAUGGUAUGAGAUGGGAUUUAAUGAAAAAUUAAAUGUAUUUAUGUGGCAGAUUGAGAAUUAAAUCCCCAAUUCUUAGUAUUAUUAUAAAUAGCUUUGAGUUAAAUGUGAAAUUUUUUUGUUUUAUUAAGUUUUUAAGCUUAUUUAAUUUCUAUCUAUUUUUUAUAUAUAAUUUACAUAACAUUUUUAUAAUUUUAUGAAAUUUCUAAUUAUCUUAUUUUGCGUAUUGCUUGAUACUGAAUCAAGAUGUCGAGACUAACAUAUCUCGAGAUCAUCUGAGUCAAUGAUCGAUAUCGCGACUUUGAACCAUACUUGUCUCCAAUCCCUCAACAGUGAUGAAAAAUGAGGCCAACACAGUUGCCUUUUUUAUUAUUAUCAGUUAAAAAUAAUGAAUCUAUAUCCAUGUAUUAUCAAGAAUAAAUAAGUUUAUAUUUAUAAAUUUUUAUUAUAAAUUUAUAUUUACACAUAUCCUUGAUUUUCCUCAAGGUCUUAUUUUUAAUUGAUUACAAAGCAUUAGUACUUAUUUAAUUUAAAAUGUAUUAAAUAAAUAUUAAUAUUACAUAAAUAAAUAAAAGUUGAAUUUGAAUAAAAAUUAUAUAUAUAUAUAUAUAUAUCAUAUUCUACAUGAAUAUGAAUCUAUUAUUAAAGAUACAUGGUAAUAAGUGUUAAUAUUAUAUAAUCAAAUGAGAGUACAAAAAUUUUCUAUUAUUAACAAUACAUUAUUAUAAUAAUGAAAUACUUAAUAUCAUGUAAAUAAAUAAAAGUCAUCAUAAAUUUAAAUUUGAAUUUAUAUUUUUAAACCCAUCAAAUUUAUUUUUAUUUAUUUUUAAUUUUAAGAAUUUUUUCUCCACUUCAAAUAGCAAUAAUAGUGUUUAUUCAUACUAAUUAUACUUAAAAUUGAUGAAAUUUAUGAAAAAAGAAGAAGUAAAAACCCAUACCCUUCAAAUUUACAUUUGUUUUAAUUUUAAGAUUUUUUUUCUCUACUUCAAGUAAUAAUAAUAAUAAUGUUUAUUCAUACUAAUAGCAAUAAAAUUAACGAAAAUGAUGAAAAAUAAAAAAUAAAAAAUAAAUAGUAAAAACUUCAAAAUUUUAAUAAUAAUAAUAAUAUUUAUUCAUACUAAUAAACAAUUCUUCAUAAUCAUAACCUACUAAUUUCCAACAAUUAUAAUUGAAAUUGUUUUGAAUAAACAAUGUAAUUUGUAUUUGAAGUUGAAGAAAAUUGUGAAAAUUAAAUGGGAAGGGUAGGGUUUUAAUUUUUUAUUUUAUUUAAAAUUUUUCCCUCAUUAAUUAAUUAAUUAAUUAAUUAAUUUAUUUAUUUAUUUAUGAAUUUUGAGUGAAAUUAUUAUGAAUCAACAAUUUUAUUGAUAUUUAAAGUUUAAAAAAAAAAAAUCUAUGAAUUUUAAAUAAAUUUUGGAAGGUAUUUGUAAUGGGGUAUUUUUAUUUGCACUUUCCUAUUAUGUUGAAAUAUUGUUUGGUUUCAACAUUGUUUAUUCAAAAUAAUUUCAAUUAUAAUUAUUGGAAAUUAGGAGGUUAUGAUUAUGAAGAAUUGUUUAUUAGUAUGAAUAAACAUUAUUAUUAUUAUUAUUAUUAUUAUUUGAAGCAGAGAAAAAAAUUCAUAAUGCAUAGGGAGACCACAGAUUCUAUGGAUUCAACAAUUGAUAAACCUACUUGUUUAUGUUAUUGUCCCUAACCAUCUAUUCCAUUUUUGAAUUUACUUUUGGUGCAUUUAGUUUGUAACUUAUCUUAUGUUUUACUUAUUUUCAAUUUUUUUUUUUUAAGGUUAAGAUAGUAGUUUUUUUUUUUUUUAAAAAAAAAAAAAAAAACUCUUUUGAGCAAUACUUGAUUCUCUUGCUAUUCUUAUUUUUAACCAUUUUUUCAAUAAGAAAUUAUUUCUUUUUGGCGGAAUUGUAGGAAGUGGAUUGAAUCGGAAAAUUUAUUUGGGCCAGAUUGUGUUUCACUAGAGUCUUGAGAGAUGCAGCUUAGUGAGCUUAUAAUAAAAAGGUAGGCAUUUAAACGGACCAUACUGGUCCGAGUCAAUCUUAGUUUGGCCUAGUGGGCCUUCGGAAUUGCUCCAACAUGAAUUUCAAUGUCAACUUCAAUUUUUAAAAUUAAUAAUUAUACAUUUGUUUUAACUAUUUAUAACAAAUAUUAUCUUUGAAAAGUAAAUUUCAAUUAAUUUUUAUAUUUAAAUAAAAAUUAUUAUUAUUUUAAUUAUUUGUAUCCAAAUCAUACCCGAUAUAUUUGAUUUAUCUUACAAUGUUUCAACAUAAUAGGAAAUUGCAAAUAAAAAUACCCCAUUACAAAUACCUUCCAAAAUUUAUUUAAAAUUCAUAUAUAUUUAUAUAUAUAUAUAUAUAUAUAUAUAUAUAUAUAUAUGAAUUUUAAAUAUCAAUAAAAUUGUUGAUUCAUAAUAAUUUCACUUAGAAUUCAUAAAAAAAUACGAGGAAAAAAAUUAAAAUAAAAAUUUUUAAGAUCCCUACCCUUCCCAUUUAAUUUUAACAAUUUUUUUCUGAGCAUUGAUUUGUUGAUCGAUUAUCAAGGGCCACUCAUUUGCUUUGUUGGAUCUAACUCUCUGUAUGCAUGCUCUGUUUUGGCUUUGUUUGUUUUUUUUUUUUUUUUUUAUCUUUGCUUUCUCUUGUAAAUAUCUGAUGCAUUGUUCCUUCUCUGAACUUGAGAUAUAAAAAUCAUGCUCUUGUUCCUUGUGGAUUCCACCUUCUCCUAGCUCUUUGACAAUCCAUGAAAUAGAGCUAAGUUCAUACUCUAUUUUUAUGUUUUUAUUCUUCUUUGUUUGUUGUUGAUGGUGGGAUGAUAUUAUCAAUGGCUAAGUUGCUGGGAUUUGAGGAGUGAGGUUAUGGGGAAGUGAACUUAAUGGAGGAUUUCUAUGAUCAUAUCUAUGCUCCAAUCUAUUGGUUCAAAAUGUUGGCCAUGAGACUGCAUUGAAGUUUUGGUAUUUGGGAUCACUUUGCCAUCCGGGUUCAGUAAGCAACACAGUGGCAAUAAAGAUGCAUUGGUGUUAUUAAUUUGGGUGAAUAAGUUGGUUGUAUGAAUCGUGAAAGUUCAGGUUGUGCUUUGAGGAGAGUAUAUCUUGCAUCCUAUUAUUUUAAUUAUUAAUUUUGGAUGUUGAAAUAUGAUGUGAUCGCACUUCAUACAUCAUGGUUGUGUGAGGAAAAAGAAAGAUUGAAGAAAUGGUUGUGUGAAAUGGAAAUAAGAAUGAAAAGACCCUGGAGAGGGCAAAAAUGAAAAGAAAAAAAAAAUGAAAUGAUCCCAGAGAGGGCAAAUUAAGAAGGAAGUGAGAUCUUUAAGGUGAAAGUCCCAAAAGUUUACUUCGGGAAGACUCCGAAUGGGGAGUAUAUUUAGGUACAGAUGUGUAUCCUUUGGUGAAAGCUUGAGAACCAUAGUGCAUUGUGUGAUUGCGUGUAAGCAUUUGCAUCAUAAUUGCGUUUGGAAGAAGGAUUUGUAUUAUUUAUCAAGUGUAUGUUUGAAUAUAUUAUUCAAAACUAAAAUGACUUGUUUAUUUUGUAAAUUUAGAAUUGUUGAUAUACUAAACAUAUGAUUGAAUAAGGAAAAUGAUAAUUUUGAUUGUUUUAAAUUUAUAUGGUUAAGGUUUCUUUUAAUGUAUAUAUUGUAAAUGUAAUAUUGUAUUUUGACAUAUGGUUGUGUUAUUGACCUAGAAUUUCUAACCUAUUUGGGUGUAAAACACCCUACUGAGCAACGUGGAAAUGCCCAUCUCUUUAUUUUCUAAAAUUUUAGAUGCAAAUAUAGUUUCAGAGGGACCACAAGAAGUUCAAGAAGCGUUCUAGAAAGUAAAAGAACUAUAAUAAUAGUUGUUUUUAAAUUUAUAUUUCUCUUUUUAUAUGUACCAAUUUGAGUUAUAUGGACUUUUGUAUGUUAAAUUAUAUUUUGUUAAAUUGUAAAAUAUUUUUGGAAAUAUUUUUUUUAACUUAGAGAUUAUUGUAAAUAUUUCAGCUUUUGGGCAGAAAGAUGACUGGUGGAUUUAUUAUACUUGUGAAUAAGAGAUAGUGUGAUGGUUGGUUUUAGAAAAAUAAAAUAUUAUAGUAAAUCUUAACUUAAUAAGAGCAGGAUGAUCAUCAGCCUGCUCUUGAAGCAUCCAGGGAGGGCAUAUUCCAAGAAAGUUACGAAAAAUUGAGAUGAAGAAACUGCAGUGAAGCAAUUUCAUGGAAUUUUUGCUUGGAGACUCACGAAUUACAACCAAUUGCUCAGGGUUGGGAAAAUUGGAAUUGGUGUAAAUUGUGACUGGGUCUUUGUAAAACCCACAUCAUUUAGCUAGAAAAGCUUUGAAAAUACAUUUUAAUUUAAUUUAUAAUUUCUAUGUUAGAAUAUUAGAUCCAAUUCCUAAAAAGCUUAUCAGCCUUGUAUAUAUGGCUAAGCAGGUCAACUUCCCAAGCUCAAGCGCAUUAAGAAAUUCUCAGACCUACCUUUUUUUUAUAGGAUUUUUGGGAAGUUUUACAGCAAUUGAAAACAAAUCCUAAAAGGGUCGGGAAAUUAUUUGAAAAAAUAUGGCAGAUUUGGUCACAUAGGGGACAAAGAUGUGAUAAAGUUGGUACAACGCCCAAAAUUAAACUCUCAAUUAAUUUAAUUAAACAAAUAAUCA
rnacentral:lncRNA from 1 species